GGUUUGAUUCUGGCUCAGAUUGAACGCUGGCGGGAUGCUUUACACAUGCAAGUCGAACGGCAGCACGGACUUCGGUCUGGUGGCGAGAGUGGCGAACGGGUGAGUAAUGUAUCGGAACGUGCCUAAUGGCGGGGGAUAACUUCGCGAAAGCGUAGCUAAUACCACGCGCAUACGCCCUUCGGGGGAAAGCGGGGACCUUCGGGCCUCGCACUAUUAGAGCGGCCGAUAUCGGAUUGGCCAGAUUUGGUGGGUAACGGCUCACCAAGGCGACGAUCCGUAGCUGGUUUGAGAGACGACCAACCACACUGGGACUGAGACACGGCCCAGACUCCUACGAGGCAGCAGUGGGGAAUUUUGGACAAUGGGGGAAACCUGAUCCAGCCAUCCCGCGGUAUUGCAUUAGAGGCCUUCGGGUUGUAAAGCACUUUUGGCAGGAAAGAAACGGCACGGGAUAAUACCCCGUGCAACUGACGGUACCUGCAGAAUAACCGGCUAACGCUACGUGCCAGCAGCGCGGUAAUACGUAGGAGUGCAAGCGUUAAUCGGAAUUACUGGGCGUAAAGCAUUUGCGCAGGCGGUUCCGAAGAUGUGAAAUCCCAGAGCUUAACUUUGGAACUGCAUUUUUAACUACCGAGCUAAAGUGUGUGUCGGGGGAGGUGGAAUUCCGCGUGUAGCAGUGAAAUGCGUAGAUAUGCGGAGGAACACCGAUGGCGAAGCAGCCUCCUGGGAUAACACUGACGCUCAUGCGAAAGCGUGGGAGCAAACGGGAUUAGAUACCCUGGUAAGUCCACGCCCUAAACGAUGUCAACUAAGCUGUUGGGGCCUUCGGGCCUUGGUAGCGCAGCUAACGCGUGAAGUUGACCGCCACAGGAAGUACGGUCGCAAGAUUAAAACUCAGGAAUUGACGGGGACCCGCACAAGCAGUGGAUGAUGUGGAUUAAUUCGAUGCAACGCGAAAAACCUUACCUACCAUACGACAUGUCUGGAAUCCCGAAAGAGAUUACGGUGCUCGCAAGAGAACCGGAACACAGGUGCUGCAUGGCUGUCGUCAGCUCGUGUCAUGAGAUGUUGGGUUAAGUCCCGCAACGAGCGCAACCCUUGUCAUUAGUUGCUACGAAGGCACUCUAAUGAGACUGCCGGUGACAAACUUCGGAGGAAGGUGGGGGAUGACGUCAAGUACUCAUGGCCCUUAUGGGUAGGGCUUCACACGUCAUACAAUGGUCGGGACAGAGGGUCGCCAACCCGCGAGGGGAGCCAAUCCCAGAAACCCGAUCGUAGUCCGGAUCGCAGUCUGCAACUCUGACUGCGUAAGUCGGAGUCGCUAGUAAUCGCGGAUCAGCAUGUCGCAGUGAAUACGUUCCCAGGAGUCUUGUACACACGUCACACCAUGGGAGUGGGUUUUACCAGAAGUAGUUAGCCUAACCGUAAGGAGGGCGAUUACCACGGUAAGUUCGCGGCUGAGGGUGAAGUCAUACUUUCGAUAA
rnacentral:rRNA from 1 species